CAAUAGCGUAUAUUAAAGUUGUUGCGGUUAAAAAGCUCGUAGUUGGAUUUCUGCCGAGGACGACCGGUCCGCCCUCUGGGUGUGUAUCUGGUUUGGCCUGGGCAUCUUCUUGGAGAACGUAGCUGCACUUGACUGUGUGGUGCGGUGUCCAGGACUUUUACUUUGAGGAAAUUAGAGUGUUUCAAGCAGGCACACGCCUUGAAUACAUUAGCAUGGAAUAAUAAGAUAGGACCUCGGUUCUAUUUUGUUGGUUUCUAGAGCUGAGGUAAUGAUUAAUAGGGACAGUUGGGGCCGUUUAUAUUUCGUUGUCAGAGGUGAAAUUCUUGGAUUUACGAAAGAUAAACUUCUGCGAAAGCAUUCGGCAAGGAUGUUUUCAUUGA
rnacentral:rRNA from 1 species